CCCGCCAGGCACCGGCAGCCACGUGGUCGGAAGGGGCCUGUGGCGCAAUGGCCCGGAAGGCAGUGACACCAUGUUCCCUUCCUAAGAACCGUUUGGCCCCUUGGGGAAGACGCUGCUGGGGAGAGCCGAGGGGCUGGGCGCCCAGGCGCAGCAACCACAGGGCACCUGUGGACACCUCCCCAGUUUCCACAGGCGGCCAAUGGGCGCUGGGUGCGGUGGCAUGCCUGCUCCUCCUCCUGUUUUCUUCGAAUUCGUUCUUCGAGGUCAGCCCCACGCCCAAGGAUGAUGCAAACCGCAGCCUCAGCCUUCCUGGGAUUUCAACACCUUCCUGGAAAUUAAACUGAAAAAGAAAAAAAACAAGGCUUUUCUUCUGCUUCCUUUAAAAAAUUCACUUCAGAAUGAAUUCCACAGAAGCGGCACCUGACAGCCUCAGAGAAGGGGACCAGUCUUCACUCGAGGGGACAAUCCUACAUUUUGCAGAAACAGAUGGAUCACGGUGCCUUUUCAGUCCUCGUUCAACCUAUAUCUAAGUAACUCGCUAUGUGUAUCAGACUCCAGUCUAGGCGCGGGAAUCAAUGGGCAAGAAAGACAAGGCUUACAGGGCAGAGCUUGGAUUGCUGGGAAGCUGGCGGUGUAGGAGGACUCUGAACUCACCUCCUCCCAAGGACACAACAAAUUUACAACUCCUCUUGUAAUAAUGGCCCCUGAGAGAGAACUGAAAGCUGGGUAAAAAGAACCCCACAAACUCUCAACAGUGCUGACUGAGGUGGAAGAGGCAGAAAUUCCUUUCUGCAGAAGAAAAAGCCACAUUCUAGUCGUGGUGCUUCCUGGCCAGGAGCAAUCUUAAGGGACUCCUGUGAGGGACAGCCAGAACUCAGACGUGGUCCAAAAGAAAGCAGGCAGCAGCCUGGAAGAAAGGCACUUUGGGGUCCUCCUUGAGGGUGUUUUGCAACAGGCCAGCCAUACUCAAGGUGGCAAGGGAGGCUGGCAGUCUCUGCCCAUGUUCAGAACCUUCUGGGCUAUUCCAGAAGCAGCAAGGAAUGAAGAAAAAGCCCGGACUCAGAGCCAGGCAGCCCUGGAUGUGACCUUGGAUAAAUCACUUCAGCUCUUGAAGCCCUGGUUCCUCAUCUGGAAAAUGGCGAUGGUUGACGUACCACUCUCUUGGUGAAAAGUGAGGGAGGUGACGUGAGACCAGCCCUUAGCCAGCUACACGGAGAGAGACCAGAACCUUAGGCUGAGGCCAAGAGGAGCAGCAGAGCAGCCGCGGCUGAGGCUCAGGCGACCCUCAAGGACCACAGCCCAGCCUGGUCACUACAAGCCCUUUAUUAAUAAGUUGAUAAAAAUAGAAGAGAAAGA